UGACCUCAGAUCAGUCGCGAGUACCCGCUGAACUUAAGCAUAUCAAUAAGCGGAGGAAAAGAAACUAACCAGGAUUCCCUUGGUAACGGCGAGUGAAGAGGGAAGAGCCCAGCACCGAAGCCUGCGGCAGUUUUGCUGUUAGGCAAUGUGGUGUGUGGGUCGGCUCGCGGGACCAUCACUCCACUCGAAGUCCAGCAUUGAGUAUGGCAUCACUGGAUUUGGCCCAUAGAGGGUGAGAGGCCCGUACGGGUGGAGGUUCAGACAUGUGAGAUGGUUCACCAGGCCGGCCUCAGAGUCGGGUUGUUUGAGAUUGCAGCCCAAAGAGGGUGGUAAACUCCAUCCAAGGCUAAAUACUGCCACGAGUCCGAUAGCGAACAAGUACCAUGAGGGAAAGUUGAAAAGUACUCUGAAGAGAGAGUAAACAGUACGUGAAGCCGCAUGCAGGUAAACGGGUGGCGUCAAGCUGCGAGCCCGGAGGAUUCAGCUGACUGGGAUGUAGUGUACGCGCGCCUGGUGCGUCGAGAGGCCGGAGUAAGAUGUGGCGGUCCACUCCUCUGUCGGGAGUGGGGUGCAAUCGGUGUGCGCUCGCCGUGCAACGGUUGUCGCUAUGCAUGCCGGGUGGGUGCCGGAGCAUGCCGCUCGUCUGUUGGGCCACCUAGUCAGUGCAUUUUCUCCGUGGUGAACACCACGACCGGUGGAACUGCCAGUCUGCUAUGAGCAAGUCGUGUCCUCCUGGCGCAUUGCUGUGUUGGGUGGGCGCGAUCGCUGGCGGAGUGGGUGAACGGCGCAGUGGUGCCUCGGUACUGCCGCGUGUUAUCGUGCACUCUCCGUCGUAAGCGGUUAGUGGGUUUGACUAAGUGCUGUGACUACUUGCCUACUAAUCGGCGGCUCUUAGUGGUGAAAGUGACUGUGCAGGGCACCGGAGUUGUCCACCUCAUUCAAUAUGGUAUCCGGCACGCACGUUACAGGUGCUAAGGAAUCGAGGUGCGCCGCUGUCUGCCUGGUGUUGGGCCUGACUGUCGUGUUGCCUGCAAAAAGUGGGUCCGGCGGUGGUUUCGAUACUUGGUAUUGGCAGUGUGAUGCGCGUCUCGGGUGUCUGUGAUACCGGGGGUGAAAUAGUCAGUGGUGCUGUGGUAGACGAGCUACCCGACCCGUCUUGAAACACGGACCAAGGAGUUUAACAUGUGUGCGAGUCAAAGGGUCCUACGAAACCCCUAGGCGCAGUGAAAGUGAAGUUCAUGCUGCACUUCUGCACAUACGCGGUGCAGUGUGGCGAGGUGAGAUCUCGUUGUACUCAUGACACACGCCUUAGACCUUACUGGGCAUUAUUGGGGCAACGAGCGCAUCACCGGCCCGUCCCAUGAUGUGGUCAUGGGUGUACUUGUACGUGGAGUGGCGACACUUUGCGUGCAAAGCCUGUGCGUCAUCGGGGCGGAGCAUGAGCACACACGUUGAGACCCGAAAGAUGGUGAACUAUGCUUGCGUAGGUUGAAGCCAGAGGAAACUCUGGUGGAGGACCGUAGCGAUUCUGACGUGCAAAUCGAUCGUCAAACGUGAGUAUAGGGGCGAAAGACUAAUCGAACCAUCUAGUAGCUGGUUCCCUCCGAAGUUUCCCUCAGGAUAGCUGGCGCUCAUUGGUAUAAUCAGUUUUAUCCGGUAAAGCGAAUGAUUAGAGGUACUGGGUUCGAAAUGGACUCAACCUAUUCUCAAACUUUAAAUGGGUGAGAUGCUCGACUCGCCUCGUGUGCGUGUGUGUAAUAACUGCGCGGAGUCGGGCGUUGAAUGUGCGAGUGCCAAGUGGGCCAUUUUUGGUAAGCAGAACUGGCGCUGUGGGAUGAACCAAACGCGUGGUUAAGGUGCCUAACGCUGACGCUCAUGAGAUACCACAAAAGGUGUUGGUUAAUAUAGACAGCAGGACGGUGGCCAUGGAAGUCGGCAUCCGCUAAGGAGUGUGUAACAACUCACCUGCCGAAUUGACCAGCCCUGAAAAUGGAUGGCGCUAGAGCGUCGGACCUAUACCGCGCCGUCAUCGCAAGCUGCACCUAUGGGGUUGUACAUUAUGUGGGCGUGUGUGAUCGCAGGUACAUUCGUGGUGCAGGCAAGGAGCGCGAUGACGAGUAGGAGGGUCGCCGUGGUGAGCGUAGAAGCCUCUGGCGUGAGUCAGGGUGGAGCCGCCACGGGUGCAGAUCUUGGUGGUAGUAGCAAAUAUUCAAGUGAGAACCUUGAAGGCCGAGGUGGAGAAGGGUUCCAUGGGAACAGCAGUUGGCCAUGGGUCAGGCGGUCCUAAGCGAUCCGGUGACUCGGUACAGAGUCGUGGGGUGCCUUAUAUGUUUCUGUGUUAACUUGUGAAGUGCCUUAAUUGUGUACUAAUACAUGUGUGUGUGUGCUGGCAGCCCCUCGGAGCGAAAGGGAAUCGGGUUAAUAUUCCCGACCCUGCCCACGGAGAUAGGUGGUGCAUGUGUGCUUGCAUUGGCGCGUGCAUCUUCGGGUGUAUGUGUUU
rnacentral:rRNA from 1 species